GCCUGGUGUGGUGGUGCAUGCCUGUAAUCCCAGCUACUCGGGAGGCUGAGACAGGAGGAUUGCAAGUUCAAAGCCAGUCUUAGCAAAGGUGAGGCACUAAGCAACUCAAUGAGACCCUGUCGCUA
rnacentral:sRNA from 1 species